rnacentral:misc_RNA from 1 species
CCAAACUUGGUCAUUUAGAGGAAGUAAAAGUCGUAACAAGGUUUCCGUAGGUGAACCUGCGGAAGGAUCAUUACCGAAUGACCCGCACCUCGCCUUGUGCAUGGGUGCUCAUUGCCACCUCUUGAUCUUGAUCUUGGUGCUCGUCACCCCCGACCACCGGUUGGGGGUUUGGGUGCCACGUUCAAGAUGUUCCUAUGCUACACACGAACCUGUCAUUGUAUGGUGUUGAACAUGAACAUGUAAUACAACUUUCAACAACGGAUCUCUUGGCUCUCGCAUCGAUGAAGAACGCAGC